GGUUAAGCGACUAAGCGUACACGGUGGAUGCCCUGGCAGUCAGAGGCGAUGAAGGACGUGCUAAUCUGCGAAAAGCGUCGGUAAGGUGAUAUGAACCGUUAUAACCGGCGAUGUCCGAAUGGGGAAACCCAGUGCAAUUCGUUGCACUAUCGUUAACUGAAUACAUAGGUUAACGAGGCGAACCGGGGGAACUGAAACAUCUAAGUACCCCGAGGAAAAGAAAUCAACCGAGAUUCCCCCAGUAGCGGCGAGCGAACGGGGAGCAGCCCAGAGUCUGAAUCAGCUUGUGUGUUAGUGGAACGGUCUGGAAAGUCCGACGGUACAGGGUGAUAGUCCCGUACACCAAAAUGCACAGGCUGUGAACUCGAAGAGUAGGGCGGGACACGUGGUAUCCUGUCUGAAUAUGGGGGGACCAUCCUCCAAGGCUAAAUACUCCUGACUGACCGAUAGUGAACCAGUACCGUGAGGGAAAGGCGAAAAGAACCCCGGCGAGGGGAGUGAAAAAGAACCUGAAACCGUGUACGUACAAGCAGUGGGAGCACCUUUAUGGUGUGACUGCGUACCUUUUGUAUAAUGGGUCAGCGACUUAUAUUCUGUAGCAAGGUUAACCGUAUAGGGGAGCCGCAGGGAAACCGAGUCUUAACUGGGCGUUAAGUUGCAGGGUAUAGACCCGAAACCCGGUGAUCUAGCCAUGGGCAGGUUGAAGGUUGGGUAACACUAACUGGAGGACCGAACCGACUAAUGUUGAAAAAUUAGCGGAUGACUUGUGGCUGGGGGUGAAAGGCCAAUCAAACCGGGAGAUAGCUGGUUCUCCCCGAAAGCUAUUUAGGUAGCGCCUCGUGAACUCAUCUUCGGGGGUAGAGCACUGUUUCGGCUAGGGGGUCAUCCCGACUUACCAACCCGAUGCAAACUACGAAUACCGAAGAAUGUUAUCACGGGAGACACACGGCGGGUGCUAACGUCCGUCGUGAAGAGGGAAACAACCCAGACCGCCAGCUAAGGUCCCAAAGUCAUGGUUAAGUGGGAAACGAUGUGGGAAGGCACAGACAGCCAGGAUGUUGGCUUAGAAGCAGCCAUCAUUUAAAGAAAGCGUAAUAGCUCACUGGUCGAGUCGGCCUGCGCGGAAGAUGUAACGGGGCUAAACCAUGCACCGAAGCUGCGGCAGCGACACGAUGUGUUGUUGGGUAGGGGAGCGUUCUGUAAGCCUGCGAAGGUGACCUGUGAGGGUUGCUGGAGGUAUCAGAAGUGCGAAUGCUGACAUAAGUAACGAUAAAGCGGGUGAAAAGCCCGCUCGCCGGAAGACCAAGGGUUCCUGUCCAACGUUAAUCGGGGCAGGGUGAGUCGACCCCUAAGGCGAGGCCGAAAGGCGUAGUCGAUGGGAAACAGGUUAAUAUUCCUGUACUUGGUGUUACUGCGAAGGGGGGACGGAGAAGGCUAUGUUAGCCGGGCGACGGUUGUCCCGGUUUAAGCAUGUAGGCUGGUUAUCCAGGCAAAUCCGGAUAAUCAAGGCUGAGGUGUGAUGACGAGGCACUACGGUGCUGAAGUAACAAAUGCCCUGCUUCCAGGAAAAGCCUCUAAGCAUCAGGUAACAUCAAAUCGUACCCCAAACCGACACAGGUGGUCAGGUAGAGAAUACCAAGGCGCUUGAGAGAACUCGGGUGAAGGAACUAGGCAAAAUGGUGCCGUAACUUCGGGAGAAGGCACGCUGGUGUGUAGGUGAAGUCCCUGCGGAUGGAGCUGAGACCAGUCGAAGAUACCAGCUGGCUGCAACUGUUUAUUAAAAACACAGCACUGUGCAAACACGAAAGUGGACGUAUACGGUGUGACGCCUGCCCGGUGCCGGAAGGUUAAUUGAUGGGGUUAUCCGUAAGGAGAAGCUCUUGAUCGAAGCCCCGGUAAACGGCGGCCGUAACUAUAACGGUCCUAAGGUAGCGAAAUUCCUUGUCGGGUAAGUUCCGACCUGCACGAAUGGCGUAAUGAUGGCCAGGCUGUCUCCACCCGAGACUCAGUGAAAUUGAACUCGCUGUGAAGAUGCAGUGUACCCGCGGCAAGACGGAAAGACCCCGUGAACCUUUACUAUAGCUUGACACUGAACAUUGAGCCUUGAUGUGUAGGAUAGGUGGGAGGCUUUGAAGCGUGGACGCCAGUCUGCGUGGAGCCAACCUUGAAAUACCACCCUUUAAUGUUUGAUGUUCUAACGUUGGCCCCUUAUCGGGGUUGCGGACAGUGUCUGGUGGGUAGUUUGACUGGGGCGGUCUCCUCCCAAAGCGUAACGGAGGAGCACGAAGGUUAGCUAAUCCUGGUCGGACAUCAGGAGGUUAGUGCAAUGGCAUAAGCUAGCUUGACUGCGAGCGUGACGGCGCGAGCAGGUGCGAAAGCAGGUCAUAGUGAUCCGGUGGUUCUGAAUGGAAGGGCCAUCGCUCAACGGAUAAAAGGUACUCCGGGGAUAACAGGCUGAUACCGCCCAAGAGUUCAUAUCGACGGCGGUGUUUGGCACCUCGAUGUCGGCUCAUCACAUCCUGGGGCUGAAGUAGGUCCCAAGGGUAUGGCUGUUCGCCAUUUAAAGUGGUACGCGAGCUGGGUUUAGAACGUCGUGAGACAGUUCGGUCCCUAUCUGCCGUGGGCGCUGGAGAAUUGAGGGGGGCUGCUCCUAGUACGAGAGGACCGGAGUGGACGCAUCACUGGUGUUCGGGUUGUCAUGCCAAUGGCACUGCCCGGUAGCUAAAUGCGGAAGAGAUAAGUGCUGAAAGCAUCUAAGCACGAAACUUGCCCCGAGAUGAGUUCUCCCUGAGACUUUAAGUCUCCUGAAGGAACGUUGAAGACGACGACGUUGAUAGGCCGGGUGUGUAAGCGCAGCGAUGCGUUGAGCUAACCGGUACUAAUGAACCGUGAGGCUUAACCUU
rnacentral:rRNA from 1 species